rnacentral:rRNA from 1 species
UACGGGGGGGGCAAGCGUUGUUCGGAAUUACUGGGCGUAAAGGGCUCGUAGGUGGCCAACUAAGUCAGACGUGAAAUCCCUCGGCUUAACCGGGGAACUGCGUCUGAUACUGGAUGGCUUGAGGUUGGGAGAGGGAUGCGGAAUUCCAGGUGUAGCGGUGAAAUGCGUAGAUAUCUGGAGGAACACCGGUGGCUAAGGCGGCUCUCUAGUACGGUACUGACGCUGAGACGCGAAAGCGUGGGGAGCGAACAGG